rnacentral:rRNA from 1 species
AUUGAACGCUGGCGGCAGGCCUAACACAUGCAAGUCGAACGAGUGGCGGACGGGUGAGUAAUGUCUGGGAAACUGCCCGAUGGAGGGGGAUAACUACUGGAAACGGUAGCUAAUACCGCAUACCAUCGGAUGUGCCCAGAUGGGAUUAGCUAGUAGGUGGGGUAACGGCUCACCUAGGCGACGAUCCCUAGCUGGUCUGAGAGGAUGACCAGCCACACGGGAACGGAGACACGGUACAGACGCCUACGGGAGGCAGCAGGGGGGAAUAUGGGACGAUGGGCGCAAGCCUGAUGCAGCCAUGCCGCGUGUAUGAAGAAGGCCUUCGGGUUGUAAAGGACUUUCAGCGAGGAGGCGUUACUCGCAGAAGAAGCACCGGCUAACUCCGUGCCAGCAGCCGCGGGAAGAC